GGCCUCGUGGCCCAAUGGCAAGGCGUCUGACUACGAUAGGACUCCGACAAGGAUGGAAAUCUCCGCCGACUCGGUGACAAUGCGAUAAUCAGGAGAUUCUGGGUUCGACCCCCAGCGAGGUCA